rnacentral:lncRNA from 1 species
UUGUUAGAAUGGUCCAGCAUUUUUGUGUUCUCAAAUAGUAUUCUGUGUCCAGGCUGGUUCAUCAAAGAAAAAGAAAAGGAAGGAAAACUGCCAUUUCUAGAUGUUCUGGUCAUCCGCAAACCCAAUCAACAAUUGGGCCACACAGUUUACAGAAAACCUACACACACAGAUAGAUACCUUCAUAAAAACUCCAACCAUCACCCAAGUCAAAAAAGGAGCACAAUCAAAGCCCUGACAGACCGUGCACAAAGAAUCUGCGAACCUCACCUCCUCCAAGGUGAACUCAACCACCUAAACUGGGCUCUACAGGCCAAUGGAUACUCCACCACAGACAUCAGAAGAGCUGCAAGGCCAAGAACAAGCCAUGAGAGUCAAGACAAAGAUCCACCCAGAGGAAAGGUGUCCUUACCAUACAUCAAGGGAACUACUGACCGCAUAGGGAAGCUGAUGAAGAAGCACAACCUACAAACUAUCUACAGACCCACGAAGAAAAUCCAACAAAUGCUACGGUCAGCGAAGGACAAGAGGGAUCCUCUCUCUUCUGCAGGAGUCUACCGGAUACCAUGCAGCUGUGGACAAGUCUACAUAGGGACCACCAAACGCAGCGCCCAAACAAGAGUCAAAGAACAUGAAAGGCACUGCAGACUAAUUCAACCAGAGAAAUCAGCCAUAGCAGAGCAUUUGAUGAACCAGCCUGGACACAGAAUACUAUUUGAGAACACAAAAAUUGCUGGACCAUUCUAACAACUAUCAUGUCAGACUACACAGAGAAGCCAUUGAAAUCCACAAGCAUGUGGACAACUUCAACAGAAAGGAAGAAACCAUGAAAAUGAACAAAAUCUGGCUACCAGUAUUACAAAACUCAAAAAUCAGAACAGUAAAUAAAAAGCAAUACUCUAAAAACAGAGGAUUUCCAGACAUGAAUCAACCAAGGGCAGUUAACGACUCUAAACAAAGGAUGCCCCAGAGGCAGGAAGAAGACAGCAGAUAAGCUUUUCAAUGCUAAUUUAAGUGAUUAACUACCUAACAUUCAUACUGACCUCUCUCACCCUAGACUUUCCACAGAUAUAUAUGAACCUCUUUGCUUAGUUUUCUCCAUACCUCACAACCUCUGAGGAUGCCUGCCAUAGAUGUGGGCGAAACGUCAGGAGAGAAUGCUUCUGGAACAUGGCCACACAGCCCGAAAGACAUACAACAAUAAUAAACUUUAUUUAUAUACCGCCCUAUCUCCUGGAUGGGACUCAGGGCAGUUUCCAAUCAUAAAAACAACACAAACAUUACAUAACAAACAUAAUAACACAUUAUUAAGCAAAGUAAAAAUACAAUUAUAGAAAUAAAUAACACUUACAUGACCUGAUCAAGGUGACGGAUACCAGGACAUCAUCCAUCCAAGCCCUGUUUUCGGAGGCUCUGACUUUCAGGUCUGGGUUUUUGGAUAGCAAUUUCUCAUCAAAUUACUAUCUAGAGCUCAUCCUAGUUAGCUUCCAAAUUCACAUGGGAUCUGAUACCAUUUAGACCCCUGUUUAUACUUUUAAACAUUUGUCUAAAUUCUUCUUUGUUCUAGGAUAUACACAGGUGUGCAUACACAUACAGGCUCUCACAAACACAUGCCAUGGUUUGGAAAAGAGGUCCUUGUAUGCCUCUAUUUGCCUGGCAUUUUCUCAAGAACUGCAAAUAUUGAAUUACAAAAGAUUUAUGUAAUUUCUGCCAGAAUCUUCUCUGCAUACAAAGGUUGGGGUCAGCUGGAUGGUACUGCAAAAAGGACCAACGAAGCAUCAUUAAAAUACCUCAGCAAGCUGUAAAGUACCUUUUAAAAUAUAUUAGCAACUGUAAACUAGUCACCAACUAGAUUAGUGUACAGUUUUGCCUUCUUUUAUCAAUUCCCUGAAUCAGUCCCACAGUUUAAUUUCCAUGCUCAUAUUCUAAGUUCCAAUUUUUCAGUGGUGUGAUAGAUUCUUAGAAAAAUGCUAUUUUUUCAGCUUUGAUUGUAAUUCCUCCACCAUGUCAUUUUGUUCUUUCAAUGGGAAAACAAGGAAAAUAAACUGCUAAAGGACUUGCACACACACACAAACACAGAGCGAGAAAAUACCUUAGGUGCUAUAUCUUUUUAAUGUUUUGCAGCCAUCAGGGAAGUGUUUAUUACUCUCUGGCAUUGUUAAAGUAUUUUGGAGGCAAAUUGUGUGUGUGGAAUUAUUAGCAAGGCUAAAGUAGAAUAUUUGUCUGUGUGUAUGUGUGUGUGUAUGUGUAUGUAUGUGUGUAUGUGUGUAUAUAUAUAUAUAUAUAUAUAUAUAUAUAUAUAUAUAUAUAUAUAUAUGAGAAAAGGUUUUUCCUGGAUGAUAAGUCUAGUCGUGUCUUACUCAGAGUUGAUGCUCAUCUCCAUUUCUAAGCCAAAGAAGCGGCAUUGUCCAUAUUUUUUUUAUUGCAAAGGUAUCCAUCUAGUACAUACAAAUCAACUUACUUUAUAUACAUCCAUAAACCAUUACUUUUUAGCCCCUUUUCCCCCCUCUCCCUUCCACUUUACAAAGCAUUUUUAAGUGCAGCCAGUCCAGGAGUCUGUCCAUUUUUUCCGUUGUCUGAUCAUUAGCUUUCCCUUCUUCAACCCAUUUCACAUAUUUUAAUCAGUUCUCUUUUGAUUCUUUGUAUUUUUAUAAUCCAUGGGAUAUCUUGUACUAUUUCCAUAACAUCCAAUUGUACUUGUUCAUAAAUAUAUUCAUUCAAUCUGUCCAUUGUCCAUUUUUUGUAAUCCUUCCAUCUCAGUGUUAUUACAGUAUGGGCAGCUUUAACCAUUGCCAUCAAAGUUUGUUGGCUCUCUUUCUUCAGCGUUUGUAAACCCAACCUUCCAAUUUCCAACAGACCAGGCCUAAUAUAAACUUUAUCUUGAAUAACCUGUUUAUUUUUCCUGGAAAACCCACUCUGCCAAGUUGUAGCAUUUGAGGAGCUGUUUUAUGGGUUUUUAAAAUUAUUUUACCAUCUUGCAUAAACACACAUAUGGUCACAAACACGCUCUAAAUAAAUAAUUAGGGCAAAUUCUAAGCACUGAUCAGCACUUUCAGAAAUAGUCCCAACCCAGCCAUAUAUAGAACAGGUCCAUUGAAAUCAAAAGCACAAGCUUAGGUGUUUCUACACUGUAGAAUUAAUGCAAAUUGACACGACUUUAACAGCCACUUUAACAGCUAUGGAAUCAUG